GUCUUCCUUUCAAUAACACACAUACAAACAUUGGGAUGGCACAGUAGAUUAAUAUGGUCUCUGUGUAAGGAUGACAUGGAAAUCUGUGAAACAUUUCUUAUUUUA
ensembl:snRNA U6 U6 spliceosomal RNA